rnacentral:lncRNA from 1 species
AUGGGAUGUCAGCCCUGCAGUCAGCAGCUUAACCCGCUGCACCACAGCGCCGGCUCCGAGACCACAGCGCUGGCUCCGAGACCGCAGCCCCAGCACCGAGACCACAGCGCCGGCACCGAGACCGCAGCGCCGGCACCGAGACCGCAGCGCCAGCUCCGAGACCAGAGCGCCGGCUCCGAGACCAGAGCGCCGGCUCCGAGACCGCAGCGCCGGCUCCGAGACCGCAGCACCAACUCCGAGACCGCAGCGCCGGCUCCGAGACCGCAGCCCCGGCACCGAGACCGCAGCGCCAGCUCCGAGACCAGAGCGCCGGCUCCGAGACCGCAGCGCCGGCUCCGAGACCGCAGCACCAACUCCGAGACCACAGCCCCGGCACCGAGACCGCAGCACCAACUCCGAGACCGCAGCCCCGGCACCGAGACCGCAGCGCCGGUUCUUUCUUCACAGGAGGUGGCCAGCCCCCCUGGGCUGGAAGCCACGCCACCCCUGUGGCCUCAUUCCACCUGCUGCAGUGCCGUCGCCGGGGCAAACAUGUGGGGCCGGCACUGUGGCGUAGUGGGAAGCUGCCGCCUGCAUUGCAGGCAUCCCAUGUGGGGGCUGGUUCUAGUCCCGGCUGCUCCACUUCCGAUCCAGCUCUCUGCUAUGGCCUGGGAAAGCAGUAGAAGAUGGCCCAAGUCCUUGUGGGAGACCUGGAAGAAGCUCCUGGCUCCUGGCUUCAGAUUGGUGCAGUUGCGACCAACUGGGGAGUGGACCAGCAGAUGGAAGACCUCUCUCUCUCUCUCUCGCUCUCUCACUCUCGCUCUCUCAAUCUCUCUCUCUGUGCCUCUCCUUCUCUCUCUGUGUAACUCUGACUUUCAAAAAAUAAAUAAAUAAAUCUUUAUUUUAAAAAAAGCAAGCACUGAACCUGUCUUGUGAAGCUGUGUCUUAAGGUGUGUCCGCGUAAUUACUCAGCUGAUGUCUAUCUGCUAAUGAGCUGAUGAUCAUAAAGUCUGGUUUUCAUCUCUGACUCAAACAGCACAUGAAAGGGAAAUGCAGACAUCCACCCAGCGGGACGAAGCCAGAUCCAAGCUUCCAUGUGAGCACAGUGCGCGUCCUGCUGACCGGGCUGCAGAGCUCCACGUCACUGGGGCUGGGCAGGGGCUGGCUGCACAGUGGGUACAGCUGGCUCAGGCCACCGUGCUGGCCCCAGAGUUGUGUCGGCCUCACGUGUCCACCUGAUGGCAGGGUUGGGGUGGGGGAAAAUCCCUCAGCAGGCGGGGUCCUUGGAGCAGCCAGCGUGAAAACUUUGUUUGAAAGGCAGAGUUACAGAGGGAGAGGGAGAGGGAGAGACAGAGGUCUUCCAUCUGUUGGUUCACUCCCCAAAUGACCACAAUGGCCAGGGCUACACCAGGCCAAGGCCAAGAGCCUGAAUCUCCAUUCGGGUCUCCCAUGUGGCUGGCAGGGGUCCGAGUACUUGAGCCGUCUUCUGCUGCGUUCCCGGGUGCAUUGGUGGGGAGCUGGGUGGGAGUGGAAUAGCCAAGACUCGAACUGGCAUCCAUACGGGAUGCUAGCAUUGCAGGUGGCGACUUAACCCCCUGCACCCCAAUGCCGGCCCCAGGAGGGCUGAUUCUAAGACAGCCACGGCUCAGCCCCACUCAUCCCCGCUGGCAUGAGUUCCCCCACGUGAGGGCCGGCACAGAGACUUCCGGGCGAAAAUGUGGCCAUGCCACUUCCUGCUAGGCCACGGGGGACGGCACUGCUGCUGGCAGAUACCCUUGCUGAUUUUUUCUGUUGCCUUCCUGGUUCCUGUGCUUGGAUGAAGUGAGCGACCCCACUCCCCACGUGGAGGCCACGUGACAAGGAACUGAGGUCUCCAGUCCAAUGGCUGGAGAGG